rnacentral:lncRNA from 1 species
GCCUCCAGUCCCCGCCCGCCCUCCGGAGAGGGCGCCCUCCCCUCGCCAGCUCGUCCGUCCGCGAGGCCCUAGCGCCUCCCGAUGCGCGGCCAGGCCGCUUCCCUCCUCCAAGUCGCAGCCGGCCCGCCGGCGGGAGGCACCGCGCGUUCUCCGCGCCCGCCCUGACCCCUGGACGUUUCCCGGCCGCCCCUCUCCCCGGAGCCGAGGUUCUUCCUCUCCACAGCCCCAGCCAACCGCUAGCACUUCCCACGGAAUCCUGCNUCACUCUUGCCCUUCCAGCCUGCACCCCGACGCUUCUGGGGCUUUCAUCGACCCGCGGGCUUGACCAGAGAUGUCCCUGGGCGGUAAUGAACUUUGCACCCCUCUUUGGGGUUGCUGAGGCUCGGCUCCCCCUGACCCCUGACCCCUGACCUGGUGGGCCAGCCUAGAAGCCCGGCGCUCACUCUCGCAGCCCUGCUCCAGUCAGUGCAGGAUAUAAACGAGCUGGAGACGAAGGAGGCUCUCGGAUCCUCCGGGUGACCUCGCCCAGCGGGGGUUGCAUGUCAUUGGGCCAGGAGGGGUCAAAGGCCGAGACAGAUCUGAUCUAGGGGCCUAUCUUUUCCACAUCCACACGAGCAGGCGCGCGUGUGCAGGGGGGGCGUGGGUGGGUGGGAAUGAGCAGAACUGAGAAGGCAAAAGCAGGGAUUCCCGCUGGCUGUGAGAAGAGCGCUGCAGUGAGUCAGGAGGGCCCGGUCUGGGCGGCUCUGACUAAGGACACAGUCCCUAACAUCCUGGGGUGUCAAAUCUCCGCAGUCCAAAGGGGCCCUUCCACCCCCUAGUUUGUGACCCAGUUGCAAAUUUUGGCCUGAGAAUGAGUGAGUGGGCGGGGGCCACUCCUGGUGGCUAUGAAAACUCUCAGUAGGUCUUAGAUGGGCUGGAAUGCAGGCUAGGAACCCGGCUGGGGACAGAGGGUAGAGUGAGGUGUGGCCCAGUGUGCCUACUUCCUCAGUUUCCCGACGAAGGCGGCCUUUUCUGCCACUUA